UACGGAGGAUGCAAGCGUUAUCCGGAAUGAUUGGGCGUAAAGCGUCCGCAGGUGGCUAUGUAAGUCUGCUGUUAAAGAGUGAGGCUCAACCUCAUAAGAGCAGUGGAAACUACAUGGCUAGAGUGCGUUCGGCGCAGAGGGAAUUCCUGGUGUAGCGGUGAAAUGCGUAGAUAUCAGGAAGAACACCGGUGGCGAAAGCGCUCUGCUAGGCCGCAACUGACACUGAGGGACGAAAGCUAGGGGAGCGAAUGGG
rnacentral:rRNA from 1 species